AUUGAACGCUGGCGGCAUGCCUUACACAUGCAAGUCGAACGGUAACGCGGGGCAACCUGGCGACGAGUGGCGAACGGGUGAGUAAUGCAUCGGAACGUGCCUGGUAGUGGGGGAUAACUGCUCGAAAGAGCAGCUAAUACCGCAUACGACCUGAGGGUGAAAGGGGGGGAUCGCAAGACCUCUCGCUAUCAGAGCGGCCGAUGUCGGAUGAGCUAGUUGGUGGGGUAAAGGCCCACCAAGGCGACGAUCCGUAGCUGGUCUGAGAGGACGACCAGCCACACUGGGACUGAGACACGGCCCAGACUCCUACGGGAGGCAGCAGUGGGGAAUUUUGGACAAUGGACGCAAGUCUGAUCCAGCCAUGCCGCGUGCGGGAAGAAGGCCUUCGGGAUGUAAACCGCUUUUGUCAGGGAAGAAAUCUUCUGGGUUAAUACCUCGGGAGGAUGACGGUACCUGAAGAAUAAGCACCGGCUAACUACGUGCCAGCAGCCGCCGCCGUAA
rnacentral:rRNA from 1 species